rnacentral:rRNA from 1 species
UGAGCAAUCUGCCCUUCUCAUCGGAAUAAGCGUUGGAAACGACGUCUAAUGCCGAAUACGACCUCCUUUCGCAUGAUCGGAGGUGGAAAGCUCCGGCGGAGAAGGAUGAGCUCGCGGCCUAUCAGCUAGUUGGUGUGGGUAAUGGCCCACCAAGGCGACGACGGGUAGCCGGCCUGAGAGGGUGACCGGCCACACUGGAACUGAGACACGGCCAGACUCCUACGGAGGCGACG